UGUGUACUCCCUCCGUUCCAAAAUACUUGACUUCCAUUUGUCCAAAAAUGGAUGUACCUAUAUACUAAAACAUGUCUAGAUACAUCUAUAUUUUGACAAAUAGAAGGCAUGUAUUAUGGAACGGAGGGAGUAGAAU
rnacentral:pre_miRNA from 1 species